UGUCACCUCCUUGCUUGUUCCGCCCAUUAUGCUUCAUUUGCUCCCAUUGGAAAUGACAGGCUCUGGUCUAUCUUGGGUUAGUUAUACAAAUCUUUGAUAUAAUGGUACGUUUCAUUUGAAAUUGACAGCAGCUCAUGUCAGCUAAACUGGCUUCCGAUAUUCAUCCUCGUUUCACUAUCAACUGACUGGCUUCAUCAGGCAGCUUUAGAUCCUCCAUACAACGAUGGGCCAUCCUGAAAAAACAUGUGGAUAUCACUUUGAAGAUGUGGACUGAGACAAGGUGGGAGAGGAAAGUUAAGAGUGUCGAGCCACUGAUCUAUCAGGCAGCAGCGGUGAGAGAGGCACUGAUUGAGGAGCAGGAACCAGUGUGUCCAGUGCGCGGGCUUGCUAUAGGCGAGCCCAUAACGGUUUGGCAUAACGCGUACCCAUCCUGCUCUUCUGAUUCGGCACUGGGACCCGUCCUGGAUGGUUGCCCACGAGUUCCUCCCGGUCAGGGCCGUUAUGCCCUCCCGGGACAUGGCGAGGAUAUCCGCGUGCCACUACCAGGCUGCGGCCAAGAGUGGUCGGUGAGGCACUUGCUCUGGGAGUGCAGAGCCACCUGUAGAAGGAAGCAGGCUCCCUGAUUUCCCUGUGUCUGUCAGCAGGGGAGGACCUAAAGCCCCAGCUUGUGCUGUAUGGGGUGGGCCAGAGCUUGGCGAAGGCCUUCGGUGGAAUAGGCCUUUGGCCCACCCCAUACAGCACAAGCUGGGGCGUGUCUGAAGGAUGCACAGUGGUCCUCCCGUAACCUGCUGGUAGUGAAACGAGUAGAGACCACCCCCCAGGCAGUGGCCAUGGUAGUCACGGAAGCCCUGGGGUGGUACAGAAGAAAGGGGGCCUCAACCCCAGGCGAAGGGUCCCCCACAACACCCAAGGUCCCGGCGGUCACGGCCUGACAGCGCUG